rnacentral:rRNA from 1 species
GAUCAUGGCUCAGAACGAACGCUGGUGGCGUGUCUAUACAUGCAAGUCGAGCGAGGCAGCAAUGCCGAGCGGCGAACGGGUGAGUAACGCGUAAGCAAUCUGCCCCAUAUCAGGAAAUACCCGUGCCAACGCGCGGUUAAUGUCCAGGAGAGUGGCCCCCUGCAUGGGGGGUUGACUAGAGAUUUAUCGGUAUGGGAUGAGCUUGCGUUCGAUUAGCUAGUUGGCGGGCAACGGCCCACCAAGGCGACGAUCGGUAGCCGGCCUGAGAGGGUGAUCGGCCACAUUGGGACUGAGAUACGGCCCAGACUCCUACGGGAGGCAGCAGUAGGGAAUAUUGCACAAUGGGGGAAACCCUGAUGCAGCAGCGCCAACCGUGUGGGAAGAAGCAUUUCGGUGUGUAAACCACUGUCAUGAGGGAAUAAGGCCCGCCUUCGGACGGGAUUGAAUGUACCUUGAGAGGAAGCACCGGCAAACUUCGUGCCAGCCGCCGC